rnacentral:rRNA from 1 species
GGCUCAGAAUGAACGCUGGCGGCAUGCCUAACACAUGCAAGUCGAACGAGACCUUCGGGUCUAGUGGCGCACGGGUGCGUAACGCGUGGGAAUCUGCCCUUGGGUUCGGAAUAACAGUGAGAAAUUACUGCUAAUACCGAAUGAUGACGUAAGUCCAAAGAUUUAUCGCCCAGGGAUGAGCCCGCGUAGGAUUAGCUAGUUGGUGAGGUAAAAGCUCACCAAGGCGACGAUCCUUAGCUGGUCUGAGAGGAUGAUCAGCCACACUGGGACUGAGACACGGCCCAGACUCCUACGGGAGGCAGCAGUGGGGAAUAUUGGACAAUGGGCGAAAGCCUGAUCCAGCAAUGCCGCGUGAGUGAUGAAGGCCUUAGGGUUGUAAAGCUCUUUUACCCGGGAUGAUAAUGACAGUACCGGGAGAAUAAGCUCCGGCUAACUCCGUGCCAGCAGCCGCGGUAAUACGGAGGGAGCUAGCGUUAUUCGGAAUUACUGGGCGUAAAGCGCACGUAGGCGGCUUUGUAAGUUAGAGGUGAAAGCCUGGAGCUCAACUCCAGAACUGCCUUUAAGACUGCAUCGCUUGAAUCCAGGAGAGGUGAGUGGAAUUCCGAGUGUAGAGGUGAAAUUCGUAGAUAUUCGGAAGAACACCAGUGGCGAAGGCGGCUCACUGGACUGGUAUGA